rnacentral:tRNA from 1 species
GCAUGUGGCUUAGUCGUUAGGGUUUUCGAUUUACAAUCGUAAGGUCAUGAGUUCAAUUCUCAGCAAUGCA